GAUGAAGAACGCAGCGAAAUGCGAUACGUAAUGUGAAUUGCAGAAUUCAGUGAAUCAUCGAGUCUUUGAACGCACAUUGCGCCCCCUGGUAUUCCGGGGGGCAUGCCUGUCCGAGCGUCAUUGCUGCCCUCAAGCACGGCUUGUGUGUUGGGCCUCCGUCCUCCUCCCGGGGGACGGGCCCGAAAGGCAGCGGCGGCACCGCGUCCGGUCCUCGAGCGUAUGGGGUUUCGUCACCCGCUCUUGUAGGCCCGGCCGGCGCUUGCCGACACAUCAAUCUUUUUUCCAGGUUGACCUCGGAUCAGGUAGGGAUACCCGCUGAACUUAAGCAUAUCAAUAAGCGGAGGA
rnacentral:misc_RNA from 1 species